GGAUGAACGCUGGCGGCGUGCUUAACCCAUGCAAGUCGAACGGGAAACCUUUUAUUGAAGCUUCGGCAGAUUUAGCUGGUUUCUAGUGGCGGACGGGUGAGUAACGCGUGGGUAACCUGCCUUAUACAGGGGGAUAACAACCAGAAAUGGUUGCUAAUACCGCAUAAGCGCACAGGACCGCAUGGUCCGGUGUGAAAAACUCCGGUGGUAUAAGAUGGACCCGCGUUGGAUUAGCUAGUUGGCAGGGUAACGGCCUACCAAGGCGACGAUCCAUAGCCGGCCUGAGAGGGUGAACGGCCACAUUGGGACUGAGACACGGCCCAGACUCCUACGGGAGGCAGCAGUGGGGAAUAUUGCACAAUGGGGGAAACCCUGAUGCAGCGACGCCGCGGGAAGGAAGAAGUAUCUCGGUAUGUAAACUUCUAUCAGCAGGGAAGAUAGUGACGGGACCUGACUAAGAAGCCCCGGCUAACUACGU
rnacentral:rRNA from 1 species